rnacentral:rRNA from 1 species
UACGUAGGGUGCGAGCGUUAAUCGGAAUUACUGGGCGUAAAGCGUGCGCAGGCGGUUUUGUAAGCCCGAUGUGAAAUCCCCGGGCUUAACCUGGGAAUGGCAUUUGGGACUGCAAGGCUUGAGUGCGGCAGAGGAGACUAGAAUUCCUGGUGUAGCAGUGAAAUGCGUAGAUAUCAGGAGGAAUACCGAUGGCGAAGGCAGGUCUCUGGGCUGACACUGACGCUCAUGCAUGAAAGCGUGGGGAGCAAACAGG